rnacentral:rRNA from 1 species
UACCAGCACCCCGAGUGGUCGGGGCGAUUAUUGGGCCUAAAGCGUCCGUAGCCGGUUCUACAAGUCUUCCGUUAAAUCCCCCUGCUUAACAGAUGGGCUGCGGAGGAUACUAUAGAGCUAGGAGGCGGGAGAGGCAAGCGGUACUUAGUGGGUAGGGGUAAAAUCCGUUGAUCCAUUGAAGACCACCAGUGGCGAAGGCGGCUUGCCAGAACGCACUCGACGGUGAGGGAUGAAAGCUGGGGGAGCAAACCGG